rnacentral:siRNA from 1 species
AAGGGUCACAAGAAAGAAGAGUUG